GUCAGAUAACACCCAACGAGAUGCGUGGGUCUGCGCAAUUCGAAGGACUGGCUGGGCACCGAAGCCGAGAACGAGCAAGCUGUGUUCGAAGCACUUUCGUGCUCAGGAUUUCGACAGAUCCUUGAACCGUGUGCGUCUCCGAGCGGGUGCUGUUCCCCAAAUAUUCCCUUGGUCUUCUCAGGAAGAACAGCCCACUCAGGAGACGAUACAUGGGACAAGCCACCCAGGCCCAAGUGUGGAAUGCACAGCUGCUCAGGUCCCUGCCGCAUAUGCAAUGGAAGUUGAUGAAAGUCUAGGCUCAGUGGACCAGUUCAGCUUGUGCACAGAAAAUGUGAGCACUUCCUAUCUGGCACAUGAAGAAGACUCCAAUGUGAGUGUCAUGCUCAUUUGUGUAGGCACUCCACAGCAAUAUUUGAAAUAAAUUCUACAACUCUCUCCUCUAUAGAAAACACCAGUAACAAAGUAUCUUCCUUAUUUCUUACCUACAUAGGGUA